UACACCUUGGAGAGCAAACUCCGAAAAAUAAACCCGGGCAGGUGGAGGUCGUUAGCGAAAGCAGUUCAUCUAGGAGAGCAAACUCCGAUUACAAAACCGGGCAGGUGGAGGUCGUUAGCGUGAGCAGUUCACCUAGGAGAGCAAACUCCGAUUACAAACCCGGGCAGGUGGAGGUCGUUAGCGAAAGCAAUUCAUCUAGGAGAGCAAACUCCGAUUACAAACCCGGGCAGGUGGAGGUCGUUAGCGAAAGCAGUUCACCUAGGAGAGCAAACUCCGAUUACAAACCCGGGCAGGUUGGGCUCGUGAGCCGUCAUAGGUAAUACACCUAGGAGAGCAAACUCCGAUCAUAAAACCCGGGCAGGUUGGGCUCGUGAGCCGUCAUAGGCAAUACACCUAGGAGAGUAAACUCCGAUCAUAAAACCCGGGCAGGUGGAGCUCGUCAGCCGUGGUAGGCAGUCUGCCUAGGAGAGCAAACUCCGAACAAUAAACCCGGGCAGGUGGAGCUCGUCAGCCGUGGUAGGCAGUCUGCCUAGGAGAGCAAACUCCGAACAAUACACCGGGGCUUGUGGUGCUCGUUAGAUGUCGUAGACAAUCCACGUGAUGGGAACACCAAAGAAAAGGAAAAUAAAAAGGAACACCAGAAAAAGGAAAAUAUAGUAACAAAACAUCAAGAAAAAAAAAAAACACAGAUCAUCCACC